rnacentral:pre_miRNA from 1 species
AUAAUACUCCCUCCGUCCGGAAUUACAUGUCAUCAAAAUGGAUGUGUCUAGAACUAAAAUACAUCUAGAUACAUCUAUUUCAAUGACAAGUAUUUUCGGACGGAGGGAGUAGUAG